rnacentral:miRNA from 1 species
UCGUGACUUUCUUUUCAGCCCCU